AAAUAUCAAUAUCACUUUUCACAUUGAACAGUUACAUUGCAUUAGGGGCGGACCAUUAGAAAUCCCGGGGGGGGGUUGGUGAAAAUUCCCCCAAAAAAAUUCGUGCAAAGGAAAAUGCCUGGAAAAAAAUCCGUGCAGCCAUUACGUCAGAGAAAAAAAAAUCGUGCAAGCAAACAGCGAAGUACAAAUAGUCUUGAAAAACAAUUCGUGCAGAGGUUAAAUGCAUUAAAAAAAAUUCCUG